CUUAUGUUAGGAGUGCAGUAUUGCAAGGAAAACAACACUGCAACUUCCCAGGGCAGAGCAGAAAAUGCUGUAUAUUAGAUGGUAGUUUAGGAUUUUGGAGAGCAGGACUUCUUGAGAACAGUGAAGAGAACACCAGGAAUGGAAGCAUUUCCACUUCUGAAGAUCAUUUUGUUUCACAUUCUUGUUACUGAGGUAACCACGGCAGGCUGUUCCAAAGAGAUGUAAAGUAAAUUUCUGACGUCUGGCGAAAGCUGGGGAGGUAAAAGGUACUUGGCCUAAAGCACUCUGUAAAAGACAUGAAGCCAGAGUGCUGCCAAGAUGCUGGCUAUAAUCAGCUGGCACAUGGGACAAGUCAAAAGAACAAGGGAAAUGACAGACACAGGGCUCAAGUGUGGUAGAUGUCAAGAAGUGUUAUCUCUGUUACAGCAUCAAUAUAUAUAUUUUUUUAACUCUGUAAAAACAUUUGUACUCUGGUGUGUUGUAAGGGUCAUUAUUAGAAACAUUUUUUCAAAAUGAUAGAAAGAGCCCCAGAUGGAGGUAGUUAUUUCAGUAAAAUACGUUCCACUUAAUUUGGACAUAUUUAAUUGGGACAGACGCUUUGUUGAAACAGCUCCCAGGGAACCAAUCUAUGACAGUAAUGAUAAUGACUGCUGCUUAAUUAGGACAGUAGUAGCAAAUUUUAAUGAAGGUGUAUUUUACCCAGGUGUUAAAGGUGUGUGAAAUUCUAAGCUUCAAUCUUUUGAUAGAAAAGUUGCCAAAUAACAAUUUAAAAGAAGAAAUGUAGAUGUAAUGCAGUGAUUAUUACUUUUAUGCAUUACAGAAUUUUACUUCAUCCCAGGUCUGCUGCUCUCUUUUGAGGGGUAUUUCCAAGUAGGGUCUGGAAAAGGCUACAGGUUUUCAUUUAUGGACAGAAUUUUGGACAUUGUAUACCUGUUGUCAGGGACAAUUAUCCAAAUAAGUUAAGGAGCUGGGAGGCUUCCAGAUGCUGGAAGGGUGCACGUAAAUUUUAGAUUAAUUUAAAUAACCUAUUUAAAGGCUUCAAAAUGUUUGGGGUCCAGAAGAAACUCCAGAAGUUUGGAUAUUUAUCCAAAACAAUGGAAGCCCUACUCAAAUGACUUUCCCUUUGAAUGUCUCCUCAAGGGGAGGGAGAGGACAGACAGCAGGUCCAUGCCUCCAUGAGUACUCUAAGGGCAAACCUGUUCCCUCACCUGAAGUGUUUCCCUUCUCAUAUGGACUUUCCCAUGAGGGAAUAGGAAUCUUCUGUCAUCACAGUGCCAAUUCUUCAAAUACCAUUAGUCAGUUCCCCCAAAAUUGUGAGGUUGGCUUAAAAAUCAUGAGAUUUUAAAAAAUAAAGCACAUUGUUUUGUGCUGCUUAGUUAUGAUGGUAAUGGGUAUCAGUGCAAAACUCAAAGACUGGGUGUGCACAGGAAGGUUAUACUGAAAAACCUUAAGGUGUGACUUUAAAUUGAUAUAGUUAUGCCAGUAUAACCCCAGGUCCUCUAGACAUGCUUAUUCCACUAUAGGAGUGAUUUUUUUCUUUUUUCCGUAUGUCACUUGGGAAGCUAAACUGAGUAUUCCAGAACAAGAGCAUUUGCAUGGGGGACGGGGGGAGAGGGGGAGGGGAAGGGGAUUGUAUUGGUGUAUUGGUAAAACUGCUAAAACUGUCCUGUGUAGACAGGCCUAAAAUGGAUGGAGGUAAAAUGUGGCAAAAAGUUACACUCAUAGAUUUCUUGGUCUUCCAGGACUUGUCUUCCCUACCUCUGGGAGCAAGCCCAUGUCCACAGACUUAUGCUAGAAGGGCUUGUGCUAGCUCUUUAAAAAUAGCUGUGUAGAUUGUGCCUCGACAUUGUAACUCAGGCUGGAGCUCAGGCACUUAAGUCCACCUCACCCGACCCAGGCUUCAGAGCCUGGCUCCAGCCCCAGCCACAAUGUCUACUCAUCUAUUUCUAGUACAAACCCACUAGGCCAAAUCUGUGGGCCCGUGCUGAGAGACUCGCUACCCAGUGUAGUGUAGACAUACCCACAGUGGCCAGAGAGGACUGGCAUACGGUGCUGAAGAAACUUUAUUAAGUGAGGGAUUCCUGGCAGGAGAUUAUUCUCUAGCUCUCUGCUAAAGCCUGUAGUCUGGCAUCUGCUCACACCACUCUGAGACAGAUUUGUAAAGGUAUUUAUGUGCCUCAAGAUGCAGAUAGGCACCUAGGGGGAUUUUCAGAAGCACGUAGGCACUGAACUCAAUGCCCUUAGAGCCCAAUAUAGAGAGAGAGAAGGAACUUUAAAAAAAAAAAAAAAAA